GUGCUCGCUUCGACAACACAUAUACUAAAAUUGGAACAAUACAGAGAUUAGCAUGGCCUCUGCGCAAGGAUGCCACAGAGAAUUCCAGAAUCUUGAAGAGAAACU